AUUUAUGGACCAUUUUCAUCUAAUUAAAAUAGCAUAUGACUCUAAUUCUCUUCCGGGUCUGUACAUCUUCAGAGUAGAAACCUCUGAGAUGUGAGCUUUCAGUAGAGCCCUCCAGACGCCAGUUGCGUGGAAGCUAACUUCAAACUCCCUGUGAAGAAACCCUUUGUUAAGGAUUUUAGAUGAAAUCUUCUCAUUGUCUUUCAUUUAAGCUGUGUCUGAUUAGACCAUCCUCGUCUCUGGGCAACACACUGGACUCCUGCACCACCGCCACCUGUUCUCAUAAUAGCCGAUUGCUAUAAAACCGUGACAGCUGCGUAGGCCUGGGGCCCUUUCACGGUACUGUAGCCGAGUGCUGGUGCUCCUAAUUGCUGGAGAACUUGAGCGCAGUUAAACUCUCUGCUGGUUGCAUUUAUAGUAAAAAUCAGCAAGGAAAACAAAUUACACUAAACCUAGGCAGUGUCUCAUUUAUUGUUCUGCUUAUUUUGUUUAUAAUGUUCUCUUAAAAAAAAAUCCUUGUGUUUGGCUGGAAAGCAGUAGGAUUUGGCAGAAACAAGGAGCUUUCCAGCCUCUAACAAGGCUCUCCGCUUCGCCUCCUGCUCUGGCAGGCAUUGCUCAGUGAUCACUGGAGUGUCUACAUCAGUCCCGGCCUUGGCUCAGCAUUACAGAGGAGGGCCCUGUCAAAUGAAACUCAGAAUGUGCAAAAGUCAUCCACUCUGGUCCAUGAGGGACCUAGAGACAUUGAAAUCACCCCAAGG
rnacentral:lncRNA from 1 species